rnacentral:rRNA from 1 species
UACGUAGGGGGCGAGCGUUGUCCGGAGUUACUGGGCGUAAAGCGCACGCAGGCGGUCUGCUAAGUUUGGAGUGACAGUUGGAGGCUUAACUGCCAAAGUGCUUCGAAAACUGACAGACUUGAGGGCUUCAGAGGGACACGGAAUUCCGGGUGGAGUGGUGAAAUGCGUAGAGAUCCGGAGGAACACCAAAGGCGAAGGCAGUGUCCUGGGGAGUGCCUGACGCUCAGGUGCGAAAGCCAGGGGAGCGAACGGG